rnacentral:lncRNA from 1 species
AGGGACUCAUAUAAUUAGUUCCAACUCUUUAUAUAUAUAUUAUCAACCAUUUUCUGUCCCGUUUUGAUGUGCAAUUUUACUUAUUCAUGUAUCUUUGUACUUUAAAGUGUUAUCAUUUUAGAAGCGUAUCAGAAGCCGCUCCUUAUCCAGAUAUCCUAUUUUUACCUCGGCAUUUAUUUUCCACCCUCAUCGGACCGCUUCUCU